AGAGUUUGAUCCUGGCUCAGGACGAACGCUGGCGGCGUGCUUAACACAUGCAAGUCGAACGGAUCAAGUGUAGCAAUAUGCUUGGUUAGUGGCGAACGGGUGAGUAACACGUGACUAAUCUGCCCCAGACUGUGGAACAACGGAGGGAAACUUCCGCUAAUACCGCAUAUUGAAACGGGUUCGCAUGGAUCUGUUUUGAAAGAUUUAUCGGUCUGGGAUGAGGUCGCGCCCCAUUAGCUUGUUGGCGAAGUAACGGCUCACCAAGGCUACGAUGGGUAGCUGGUCUGAGAGGAUGAUCAGCCACACUGGGACUGAGAUACGGCCCAGACUCCUAUGGGAGGCAGCAGUGAGGAGUAUUGCGCAAUGGACGAAAGUCUGACGCAGCAACGCCGCGUGAGGGAUGAAGGUGCUUUGCAUUGUAAACCUCUGUAGGGAGGGACGAAUCGUCCGGCUUCUGCCGGAUUUGACGGUACCUCCAAAGUAAGCACCGGCUAACUCCGUGCCAGCAGCCGCGGUAAUACGGAGGGUGCAAGCGUUGUCCGGAUUUACUGGGUGUAAAGGGCGUGUAGGCGGGAAAAUGUGUCGGAAGUGAAAUCGCGCGGCUUAACCGUGUCAAUUGCUUCCGAAACUGUUUUUCUUGAGUGCGAGAGAGGUAGAUGGAAUUCCAGGUGUAGCGGUGGAAUGCGUAGAUAUCUGGAAGAACACCAGUGGCGAAGGCGGUCUACUGGCUCGCAACUGACGCUGAGGCGCGAAAGUGUGGGGAGCAAACAGGAUUAGAUACCCUGGUAGUCCACACCGUAAACUAUGGUCACUAGAUGUCGGGGGACUCGACCCCUUCGGUAUCGACGCUAACGCAUUAAGUGACCCACCUGGGGAGUACGCUCGCAAGGGUGAAACUCAAAGGAAUUGACGGGGGCCCGCACAAGCGGUGGAGCAUGUGGUUUAAUUCGAUGCAACGCGAAGAACCUUACCUGGGCUCGAAGUGCCGUGUAAACCCAUGAAAGUGGGCUACUCCCGCAAGGGAGACGCGGUAUAGGUGCUGCAUGGCUGUCGUCAGCUCGUGUCGUGAGAUGUUAGGUUAAGUCCUGCAACGAGCGCAACCCUUGUCCUUAGUUGCCAACAGGUUAUGCUGGGAACUCUAAGGAGACUGCCGACGUUAAGUCGGAGGAAGGUGGGGAUGACGUCAAGUCCUCAUGGCCCUUACGUCCAGGGCUACACACGUGCUACAAUGGCCGGUACAGAGCGUCGCAAGACCGCAAGGUGGAGCUAAUCGCAGAAAACCGGUCUCAGUUCAGAUUGCACUCUGCAACUCGAGUGCAUGAAGUCGGAAUCGCUAGUAAACGCGGAUCAGCAGGUCGCGUUGAAUACGUUCCCGGGCCUUGUACACACCGCCCGUCACACCAUGGGAGUCGGAAGGACCCAAAGGGCCUACGCCAACCGCAAGGAGGCAGGGUCUCAAGGUCAGGCCGAUGACUGGGGUGAAGUCGGAACAAGGUA
rnacentral:rRNA from 1 species